UACAGAGGUGGCAAGCGUUAUUCGGAAUUAUUGGGCGUAAAGGGCGCGUAGGCGGUUCUUCAAGUCGCUCGUGAAAUCCCUCGGCUUAACUGAGGACGUGCGGGAGAUACUGAAGGGCUUGAGUCCGGAAGAGGGUGGUGGAAUUCCCAGUGUAGCGGUGAAAUGCGUAGAUAUUGGGAGGAACACCGGUGGCGAAGGCGGCCACCUGGGCCGGAACUGACGCUGAGGCGCGAAAGCGUGGGGAGCAAACGGG
rnacentral:rRNA from 1 species